rnacentral:rRNA from 1 species
GACGAACGCUGGCGGCGUGCUUAACACAUGCAAGUCGGACGAAGAGCGACGGAAGCUUGCUUCUAUCAAUCUUAGUGGCGAACGGGUGAGUAACGCGUAAUCAACCUGCCCUUCAGAGGGGGACAACAGUUGGAAACGACUGCUAAUACCGCAUACGAUCUAAUCUCGGCAUCGAGGAUGGAUGAAAGGUGGCCUCUACAUGUAAGCUAUCACUGAAGGAGGGGAUUGCGUCUGAUUAGCUAGUUGGAGGGGUAACGGCCCACCAAGGCGAUGAUCAGUAGCCGGUCUGAGAGGAUGAACGGCCACAUUGGGACUGAGACACGGCCCAGACUCCUACGGGAGGCAGCAGUGGGGAAUCUUCCGCAAUGGACGAAAGUCUGACGGAGCAACGCCGCGUGAGUGAUGACGGCCUUCGGGUUGUAAAGCUCUGUUAAUCGGGACGAAAGGCCUUCUUGCGAAUAGUGAGAAGGGAU